rnacentral:lncRNA from 1 species
AAGACAUGACUAAAUGUAUAAGAAUUUUAUUCAUGGAAGGACCUAUGUAGAGAUAUGCACAGCCAGGCCAGGUCAAGAGAACAGAGGGGACACUAUACAAAUAUGAACAGCAAUGAAGUAGAGAAGAAGUGGGUGGAAAUGUUCAAGACUGCUGUGCUGCCCACAGAAGAGUCAGCAAAGGAGAAGUGAGAGGACUGGAGAAAACACCCAUCCGGGAGAUGUGCCAGUGACCAGUACACCCCUAUGAAGCAGGUUUGGUGAGUCUUUGAUGAACUGGAGCACAAAUGUAGGAGGAGACAGAGAAGAUGGGUGGGGCAAGUGGCAACUGGAGAGAUCUUUGAAAGAUUCCUG